UACGUAGGGUGCGAGCGUUAAUCGGAAUUACUGGGCGUAAAGCGUGCGCAGGCGGUUUUGUAAGCCAGAUGUGAAAGCCCCGGGCUUAACCUGGGAAUGGCAUUUGGGACUGCAAGGCUAGAGUGUGGCAGAGGGGGGUGGAAUUCCACGUGUAGCAGUGAAAUGCGUAGAUAUGUGGAGGAACACCGAUGGCGAAGGCAGCCCCCUGGGCUAACACUGACGCUCAUGCACGAAAGCGUGGGGAGCAAACAGG
rnacentral:rRNA from 1 species